rnacentral:antisense_RNA from 1 species
CUAGAUGAGGACUGUUUCAUUUCUGCCCGGAACCACCAAGUCUUGGGCGGAAAAAAUAAAAAAACCGACUGUCAUGUCGGUUUUUUUAU